CUCGCCCGGGGACUACAGGCAUUAGCUUAAAACCCAAAGGACUUGGCGGUGCUUUAUACCCACCUAGAGGAGCCUGUUCUACAACCGAUAACCCCCGUUAAACCUCACCUUCUCUUGUCAUUUCCGCCUAUAUACCGCCGUCGUCAGCUUACCCUGUGAAGGUAACCUAGUAAGCAAAACUGAUACAAUCCAAAACGCCAGGUCGAGGUGUAGCAUAUGAGAAGGGAAGAAAUGGGCUACAUUUUCUAACAUAGAAAAUACGGAUACUACCAUGAAACAGUAGAUUGAAGGAGGAUUUAGCAGUAAGUGGAGAAUAGAGGGCUCC
rnacentral:rRNA from 1 species